rnacentral:rRNA from 1 species
UACGAAGGGUGCAAACGUUGCUCGGAAUCAUUGGGCGUAAAGCGCACGUAGGCGGCUUCGCAAGUGGGAUGUGAAAUCCCAUGGCUCAACCAUGGACGUGCAUUCGAAACUGCGAAGCUUGAGUAUGGAAGAGGGUCGCGGAAUUCCCGGUGUAGAGGUGAAAUUCGUAGAUAUCGGGAGGAACACCAGUGGCGAAGGCGGCGACCUGGGCCAAUACUGACGCUGAGGUGCGAAAGCGUGGGGAGCAAACAGG